AACGAACGCUGGCGGCAUGCCUAACACAUGCAAGUCGAACGAUGGCUUCGGCCAUAGUGGCGCACGGGUGAGUAACGCGUGGGAACCUGCCUCUUGGUUUGGGAUAACUCCGGGAAACUGGAGCUAAUACCGGAUGAGCCCGAGCAAUCGGGGAAAGAUUUAUCGCCAAAAAGAGGGGCCCGCGUCCGAUUAGGUAGUUGGUGGGGUAACGGCCUACCAAGCCUACGAUCGGUAGCUGGUCUGAGAGGAUGAUCAGCCACACUGGGACUGAGACACGGCCCAGACUCCUACGGGAGGCAGCAGUGGGGAAUAUUGGACAAUGGGCGGCAAGCCUGAUCCAGCAAUGCCGCGUGGAUGAUGAAGGCCUUAGGGUUGUAAAGUCCUUUCGGCGGGGACGAUGAUGACGGUACCCGCAGAAGAAGCCCCGGCUAACUUCGUGCCAGCAGCCGCGGUAAU
rnacentral:rRNA from 1 species